rnacentral:rRNA from 1 species
GACGAACGCUGGCGGCGUGCUUAACACAUGCAAGUCGAACGGAAAGGCCCUGCUUUUGUGGGGUGCUCGAGUGGCGAACGGGUGAGUAACACGUGAGUAACCUGCCCUUGACUUUGGGAUAACUUCAGGAAACUGGGGCUAAUACCGGAUAGGAGCUCCUGCUGCAUGGUGGGGGUUGGAAAGUUUCGGCGGUUGGGGAUGGACUGGCGGCUUAUCAGCUUGUUGGUGGGGUAGUGGCUUACCCAGGCUUUGACGGGUAGCCCGCCUGAGAGGGUGACCGGCGACAUUGGGACUAAGAUACGGCCCAGACGCCUACGGGAGACAGCAGGGGGGAAUAUGGCACAAUGGGCGGAAGCCUGAUGCAGAGACGCCGCGUGCGUGAUGACGGCCUUCGGGUUGUAAACCGCUUUCGCCUGUGACGAAGCGUGAGUGACGGUAAUAGGUAAAGAAGCACCGGCUAACUACGUG